rnacentral:misc_RNA from 1 species
GUGAAUCAUCGAAUCUUUGAACGCAUAUUGCACUUUUUGGUAUUCCGAAAAGUAUGCCUGUUUGAGGGUCAUUGAAUGAAAUCGAGGACAGUAGUAUGUAGUGUACAAUUGUAAUCGGAUGGUUGAGCAUUUCGCGAUAUACUUUAUAUCAUGAUUGCUCGAAAUUGAAGCAUGGUCUCGGCCUUUUAUUAGAGACGCGUUUACGGUGGCUUGCCUCCAAUAUUUCGCAACUUUUAGGUCGAAUUCCGUGGUAGUUUGGGCCAUUUCUCUUUUUGGGAAAAAGGUACUUACAAAUGUUUU